CCUGUGCACUAGAGAGCAAAUUGGAAAGUGGGGAGUUUGGCUGGGGCGGCACAUCUGUUAGAACAGAACACAGGUGUCCUAAGGUGAGCUCAAUGAGAACAGAAAUCUCAUGUAGAACAAAAGGGUAAAAGCUCACUUGAUUUUGAUUUUCAGUAUGAAUACAAACCGUGAAAGCGUGGCCUAUCGAUCCUUUAGUUCUUUUGAAUUUUAAGCUAGAGGUGCCAGAAAAGUUACCACAGGGAUAACUGGCUUGUGGCAGCCAAGCGUCCAUAGCGACGUUGC
rnacentral:ncRNA from 1 species